rnacentral:misc_RNA from 1 species
CCGAGACGGACUAAUUCGCAGUAGAUCUGCGCAGCCUCGCCUACACCAUCGGCAAGUAAGGCAGUAGAGGGAAUCUGAGAUCCAAUAUGGAUAUGCAGCAGCUGGAGACAAUCAAGCAUUGCUGCUUCCUCAAGCCUCUUCACAACCCGUAAAAUCUGGGUCGUGGUUAACCCAAAUUUCCCUUUCUCGCCUGACGUGGACCCGAAAUGGCCCGAAUGUUUGGUUCUCAGCUUGGCUCGGACCGCAAUCACCGGCCUUGCAGACAUUUGCUUGCUCA